CAGCCAUGCCGCGAUGUGUUAGAAGGCCUUUUGGUUGUAAAGCACUUUAAGCGAGGAGGAGGCUACUUGGAUUAAUACUCUAGGAUAGUGGACGUUACUCGCAGAAUAAGCACCGGCUAACUCUGUGCCAGCAGCCGCGGUAAUACAGAGGGUGCGAGCGUUAAUCGGAUUUACUGGGCGUAAAGCGUGCGUAGGCGGCUUUUUAAGUCGGAUGUGAAAUCCCUGAGCUUAACUUAGGAAUUGCAUUCGAUACUGGGAAGCUAGAGUAUGGGAGAGGAUGGUAGAAUUCCAGGUGUAGCGGUGAAAUGCGUAGAGAUCUGGAGGAAUACCGAUGGCGAAGGCAGCCAUCUGGCCUAAUACUGACGCUGAGGUACGAAAGCAUGGGGAGCAAACAGGAUUAGAUACCCUGGUAGUCCAUGCCGUAAACGAUGUCUACUAGCCGUUGGGGCCUUUGAGGCUUUAGUGGCGCAGCUAACGCGAUAAGUAGACCGCCUGGGGAGUACGGUCGCAAGACUAAAACUCAAAUGAAUUGACGG
rnacentral:rRNA from 1 species